rnacentral:rRNA from 1 species
GAUGAACGCUAGCUACAGGCUUAACACAUGCAAGUCGCGGGGCAGCAUGGGGGUUGCUUGCAACUCCCGAUGGCGACCGGCGCACGGGUGAGUAACGCGUAUCCAACCUGCCCUUCACCACGGGAUAACCCGGCGAAAGUCGGACUAAUACCGUAUGUUGUCCAUUGACGGCAUCCGAUUUGGACGAAAGGCUUUGCGGUGAAGGAUGGGGAUGCGUCCGAUUAGCCAGACGGCGGGGUAACGGCCCACCGUGGCUACGAUCGGUAGGGGUUCUGAGAGGAAGGUCCCCCACACUGGAACUGAGGCACGGUCCAGACACCUACGGGAGGCAGCAGUGAGGAAUAUUGGUCAAUGGGCGUAAGCCUGAACCAGCCAAGUAGCGUGCAGGAUGACGGCGAUAUGGGUUGUAAACUGCUUGUAUGCGGGGAUAAAGUGGCCCACGUGUGGGCUUUUGCAGGUACCGCAUGAAUAAGGACCGGCUAAUUCCGUG